rnacentral:rRNA from 1 species
UACGAAGGGGGCUAGCGUUGUUCGGAAUUACUGGGCGUAAAGCGCGUGUAGGCGGGUCUUAAGUCAGGGGUGAAAUGCAAGCUCAACCUUGGAACCGCCUUUGAUACUGGAGACCUUGAGUCCGGGAGAGGUGAGUGGAAUUGCGAGUGUAGAGGUGAAAUUCGUAGAUAUUCGCAAGAACACCAGUGGGCGAAGGCGGCUCACUGGCCCGGGAACUGACGCUGAGACGCGAAAGCGUGGGGAGCAAACAGG